rnacentral:rRNA from 1 species
GAUGAACGCUGGCGGCGUGCCUAAUACAUGCAAGUCGAGCGAGCGGCGGACGGGUGAGUAAUGUCUGGGAAACUGCCUGAUGGAGGGGGAUAACUUCUUGAAACCGUAGCUAAUACCGCCUACCCUCAGAUUUGCCCCGAUGGGAUUAGCUAGGAGGUGGGGUAAUGGCUCACCUAGGCGACGAUCCCUAGCUGGUCUGAGAGGAUGACCAGCCACACUGGAACUGAGACACGGUCCAGACUCCUACGGGAGGCAGCAGUGGGGAAUAUUGCACAAUGGGCGCAAGCCGGAUGCAGCCAUGCCGCGUGUGUGAAGAAGGCCUUCGGGUUGUAAAGCACUUUCAGCGAGGAGGCGUUACUCGCAGAAGAAGCACCGGCUAACUCCGUGCCAGCAGCCGCGGUAAUAC